UGUAAAACGCCGGCCAGUGCGGUAUCCUGACCGUUCUAAGGUAGCAUAUAAGAUACCCUUUAAUUGGGGGUUGGUAUGAAUGGACUAACGAGAGCUAAGCUGUCUCUAAAAUAAAUAAUAAAUUUACCUCUAGGUGAAAAGGCCUAGAUAUACUUAAAAGACAAAAAGACCCCAUAGAGCUUUAUUAUUAAAAUAUAGAUAAAAAAUACCAUACCUUUUUAUUUAUUCAAUACAUAAUUUAACUGGGGCGGUUAAGGAGCAAAAACCCUCCUUUCAAAUUAAAGGAACCCCCCCUACAUAGACCCUUUACGGAUUAAAGAACAAAGCUACCUUGGGGAUAACAGGCUAAUAUCUUUUAAGAGUGCAUAUCGAAAAAGAUGUUUGGCACCUCGAUGUUGGCUUAGGA
rnacentral:rRNA from 1 species